AUCGUAGCCCAAACAUUUCAUUAGCUAGCUCUGAAGAUAAGAGUUGUAGGAAGCUGAACUCUGCCUCGCUAUCUUCAGUUCCGUCACAGAGUUUCAGUAGUUCAGUUUUCUCCAACAUCUUAUCUUCAGCUCCUCUAUCGGUAGCUGUUGCAGAGUGAAGUACAUGUGAUGAGUUAGCUUGGUUAGGGUGAGCACUCUGUUCGGCAGUUGAAUUCGAGAAUCGGAUGGAACCAAAUCUGAUUGCAAAAGCAAGCCAAGACUUGGUUUUCUCCAAUAUCUCAUGUUCAGUUGGUCAGAUGAUGUGUAUGUGUACUGGUGCACUGCAGCUUGGACAUGACUUGUCUGAAGAAUUUGAAGCUGAAGGUGAGUGUUGGAGGGAACCAAAUCUCCAGCUGCAUGCACAGCACAAGGUUUGGUUUCCUCCAAUGUCUCAUCUUCAACUGUCUCAAAUCAAUGCAACUUUGCAGGCAUUUUCAGGAUCAUUAUCCUUAUCCUUAUCCUUAUCCUUAUCCUUCACAGAGUGACCAAAUACAGUAUUUUCAGUUAACCAAAUAGUGAGCUACAAUUGAUUGGAAGCUAAUGGUAUCUGAGUUGCUCCAUAUCUUGUUAUACAAUUGAUUGGAAGCUACAAGCAAGAUAGGUGAUAUCACUAUCUGGAAUAUGUAAAUGGUGUGGACAAAUAAAAUAUGAGAACUAUGAUUGAAAACAUAAUAUUAUUAAUUAUCCACUAUAUGCACCACAUCAAUUUUGUAAACAUAUUUAUACACCGAUUAGAAUGUUUUGAA